rnacentral:rRNA from 1 species
CCUACGGGAGGCAGCAGUGAGGAAUAUUGGACAAUGGAGGAAACUCUGAUCCAGCCAUGCCGCGUGCAGGAUGACUGCCCUAUGGGUUGUAAACUGCUUUUAUAUAGGAAGAAACCUUGGUACGUGUACCAAGCUGACGGUACUAUAAGAAUAAGGAUCGGCUAACUCCGUGCCAGCAGCCGCAGUAAUACGGAGGAUCCAAGCGUUAUCCGGAAUCAUUGGGUUUAAAGGGUCCGUAGGUGGAUAAUUAAGUCAGAGGUGAAAUCUUGCAGCUCAACUGUAAAAUUGCCUUUGAUACUGGUUAUCUUGAGUUAUUAUGAAGUAGUUAGAAUAUGUAGUGUAGCGGUGAAAUGCAUAGAUAUUACAUAGAAUACCAAUUGCGAAGGCAGAUUACUAAUAAUCAACUGACACUGAUGGACGAAAGCGUGGGUAGCGAACAGGAUUAGAUACCCUGGUAGUCCACGCCGUAAACGAUGGUUACUAGCUGUUUGGACCUUGUGUCUGAGUGGCUAGCGAAAGUGAUAGGUAACCCACCUGGGGAGUACGUUCGCAAGAAUGAAACUCAAAGGAAUUGACGGA